rnacentral:lncRNA from 1 species
GAUGCAGUUUGAUUAAAGGAUUGAAUUGCAUGGUAACUUGCCACUAAAGGGUAUUUUUGGUAUUUCCACCAAGUUUCAUAUUUUUUCGGUAGACAUGACACGUUGCUAGACGUCAAUCUUGUCUUAUAAGUUUGAUUGAAUUAAAGAGAUUAAUUCGAUCACCAAUUAGAAAGAAUUCUAAUUGUUAAGUUCGGGAUCGCGCAGUUUGGACCUAAAUCGAUUAGAAGAGUUCUAAUCAAGUUGGGUCGACUCGCACUCACACCUAUUGCUGGCUAAGUAUGGAACCCAAUGGGUCACACACAAGAAAACUUAUCAAGGAUCUAAUUGGAUUAGAUCAUGUUUGUAAGAUAGACAUCCUAGCAGGUGUUGCAAACCCUUAGCUCCUGAUUCGAAUUGGAUUCGAAUCUGAUUCUUAAUUGAUCUAAUUUGAUUAGAUCAUGUUCUAAUAU